UCCAGACUCCUACGGGAGGCAGCAGUGGGGAAUAUUGGGCAAUGGAGGAAACUCUGACCCAGCAACGCCGCGUGAAGGAUGAAGGUUUUCGGGUUGUAAACUUCUGUCGCGAGGGACGAAGAAUGACGGUACCUCGUAAGAAAGCCCCGGCAAACUACGUGCCAGCAGCCGCGGUAAUACGUAGGGGGCGAGCGUUGUCCGGAAUGACUGGGCGUAAAGGGAGUGUAGGCGGCUCUUUAAGUUAUAUGUGAAAUCCCGCGGCUUAACCGUGGAAGUGCAUAUAAAACUGGGGAGCUGGAGUGCAGGAGAGGUGAGUGGAAUUCCUAGUGUAGCGGUGGAAUGCGUAGAUAUUAGGAAGAACACCGGUGGCGAAGGCGGCUCACUGGACUGUAACUGACGCUGAGGCUCGAAAGCGUGGGGAGCAAACAGGAUUAGAUACCCGAGUAC
rnacentral:rRNA from 1 species